ensembl:lncRNA
AAAUCAUGUUCCUGCAAUAAAAUGUUUUUUAAAUUAUUAUUAUUUUUUAGAUAUCCACAAACGAACAUACAAAUGUGAGUAAAAUACAAAAUAUUAAAUUUACAAUAACGAAUAAAGGAAGAGCCCCCCAUUAUGUUCGAAGGGGUGUUCCUGUCAGGGUUAAUGCUUAGGAGGGAUGGGUUUGGGAACACCUGGGCCUUGCUGGGGGAGAGGUGGCUGGGAGGCAGGAGGUUGGUUCCAAUUGUUGUUUUCUCCAUACCUAAGUGGCAUAUUAAAACUAAAAUCAACAUUAAAAAAUAAAAAAUACAACUAAGGUGUAUGUAAUAUGGACACUCUUCCCCCCCAAUUUGCUACGAUAAAGCAUUAAUACCUGGGUCCUGAUGUAGAGGAUGGUGGAUAUGUAGGCAUUGGCUGGAAACAGAUGAAGAGAGCAGAAUUACUACCACACGUAAACUGGUUAAUUAGUCAUGUACUGGAAAAGGUCCUAGGUCUGUUUGUGUUGUAUAGCCCACUCCCAUGACCAGGCUAGAUCUGUUUGUGUUGUAUAGCCCACUCCCAUGACCAGGCUAGAUCUGUUUGUGUUGUAUAGCCCACUCCCAUGACCAGGCUAGGUCUGUUUGUGUUGUAUAGCCCACUCCCAUGACCAGGCUAGAUCUGUUUGUGUUGUAUAGCCCCCUCCCAUGACCAGGCUAGGUCUGUUUGUGUUGUAUAGCCCCCUCCCAUGACCAGGCUAGGUCUGUUUGUGUUGUAUAGCCCACUCCCAUGACCAGGCUAGAUCUGUUUGUGUUGUACAGCCCACUCCCAUGACCAGGCUAGAUCUGUUUGUGUUGUAUAGCCCACUCCCAUGACCAGGCUAGAUCUGUUUGUGUUGUAUAGACCACUCCCAUGACCAGGCUAGAUCUGUUUGUGUUGUAUAGCCCACUCCCAUGACCAGGCUAGAUCUGUUUGUGUUGUAUAGACCACUCCCAUGACCAGGCUAGAUCUGUUUGUGUUGUAUAGACCACUCCCAUGACCAGGCUAGAUCUGUUUGUGUUGUAUAGCCCACUCCCAUGACCAGGCUAGAUCUGUUUGUGUUGUAUAGCCCACUCCCAUGACCAGGCUAGGUCUGUUUGUGUUGUAUAGACCACUCCCAUGACCAGGCUAGAUCUGUUUGUGUUGUAUAGACCACUCCCAUGACCAGGCUAGAUCUGUUUGUGUUGUAUAGCCCACUCCCAUGACCAGGCUAGGUCUGUUUGUGUUGUAUAGCCCACUCCCAUGACCAGGCUAGAUCUGUUUGUGUUGUACAGCCCACUCCCAUGACCAGGCUAGAUCUGUUUGUGUUGUAUAGCCCACUCCCAUGACCAGGCUAGAUCUGUUUGUGUUGUAUAGACCACUCCCAUGACCAGGCUAGAUCUGUUUGUGUUGUAUAGACCACUCCCAUGACCAGGCUAGAUCUGUUUGUGUUGUAUAGCCCACUCCCAUGACCAGGCUAGAUCUGUUUGUGUUGUAUAGCCCACUCCCAUGACCAGGCUAGGUCUGUUUGUGUUGUAUAGACCACUCCCAUGACCAGGCUAGAUCUGUUUGUGUUGUAUAGCCCACUCCCAUGACCAGGCUAGAUCUGUUUGUGUUGUAUAGACCACUCCCAUGACCAGGCUAGAUCUGUUUGUGUUGUAUAGCCCACUCCCAUGACCAGGCUAGAUCUGUUUGUGUUGUAUAGCCCACUCCCAUGACCAG